UUUAAGUGUAACCAUAAGUUUUCAUGUUCAACUGUGAUCGUCCGUUUUAUUUAAAAAUUUUUAUGAUUACUAUUUUUGUUGUUAUUAGAUGAUAAAAUAUGAAUAACAUUUUAUGCGUAACUUAUCGUUUUCCGUUCUACGGUCCCUCGGAGCGAAGGGUUAGGUAAGUAGUACGGCCCCUCUGACU
rnacentral:pre_miRNA from 1 species